AAAAAACACUGGAUGCUUCAAACACUUUCUCUUUCUACAGUGACCCCCACCUUUACAAGUGUCUGUAAUUCUCACUAGCAGUAUAUUAGAGGGCAAAAGAUUUGAACAGACACAUCAGAAAAGAAGACAUACAAAUGGCCGCUAAGCACUUGAAAGGAUUCUGAACACCAUUAGUCAUCAGUGAAAUGCAAAUUAAAGCCAUAAUGAAUGGCGCUAUACAUUUUCAGAAUGGCAAGGAUUGAAGACCGAAAAAAAUCAAGCGUUGAGGAGAGUGACAAAUGGGGAGACAGCCGUGGUGCAUGAUCGCCGAAUAAAUACCAUGUGAGGAUACAGCAAGAAGGUGGCCAUCUACAAGCCAAGGAGACAGGCCUCAGAAGAAACCAACCCUUCUUACACCCUGGACUCAGACUUCUAAUCUCCAGAACUUGUUAAUGCACAAGGUCUUGUGUUGAAAAUGUAGAGCCACGAGAUAAAAGCAGCUUGGAUGGCUGACUCAUAUACAAGGACAACUGCCUGAGAGUCACC
rnacentral:lncRNA from 1 species